rnacentral:tmRNA from 1 species
GGGGAUGUAAUGGUUUCGACAUACUACCAGAAAUAUAAAUAGCAAGUAGUGGAUUCUCGUUGGCCACUUAAAAAACGAGAAAUUAAAUAUAAACGCUAAUAAACAAGAAGUAGCAUUAGCUGCCUAAGAUGUAGCUACACUUUACUAAAUACCCCACAUAUUUAGAUAAGGUGUCAAUUUUGUGGGAAACGAAGCUACUUUUGCUUCAAAAGUAGUAGGUAUUAAAGAAGCUAUAUUUAAUUUUAACCUGUUUAUCGGUGAAAAUUAGAUGAAUAUAAAAGAUAAACUAAACUUGUAGAAGUUUAUAUGGAAAGUAUUAUGGACAGGAGUUCGACUCUCCUCAUCUCCACCA